GGAGAGUUGGCAGAGCUGGUUGAAUGCGGCGGUCUCGAAAACCGUUGUCGUCGUAAGAUGACCGGAGGUUCGAAUCCUCCACUCUCCGCCA
rnacentral:tRNA from 2 species